CUGAAGAUUUUUCCUGGGGUCACUGACUGCCUUCUGUUAACUACAGCUGAUCAAUAUUGUUCAACAAAUGAGGAAAGAUGGAAAAAAUGGCGGGAAUCUCUGGUGGUGUCAGUCAAGUGGCAAAGCCAAGGAGGAUCUAGGUGGAAAAAGAUUCCCCUCCAAACUCCACCCUGGGACAUUUUCUUAUAACCUCUUGGAGCUCAGCUGUAAACAAGCCUUCACCAAAGUCACCAGGUGAUGUCGAUGGAAAUUCCAAGAACUAUGAAAUCCCCACAGGCCAUGGAAAAAAUUUCCUCUUUUCUAGCAAUUUUCAUAUCACUUAGACUUAAAUGACUUUUGCAAUUGUCUAAUGCCCCUGAUUCUCAACAGUCAAGCCCAUACAAAAGCUAUUUUCUAACCACCACAGAAAGAUCCCUUCAGAACAAGAAGCAGCUUAGUCUCAUGGACAGAGCACUGG